UAUUUUCGUUUUUCUUCUUUCCAAACUAACCUAAAAUCACCCUGAUUCAUCUGAGAUCUCAUAUCUAUGUUCUUCUCUUGAUAUAGACAGCUUCAUCACCAUCUUAAUCUUUGAUUUCCAGUAUAUCGACGAAGAAUAAUCGAUAAUUUUUUUUUUUAUCAAAGUUGAAUCUGAAGAUUCAAUCGUUAUUAAAGAUUUUGAAGGAUUAAGAAAGGGUUUGAAGUGAAUUAGAACUCAAGUCAAGGACUGAUGGGUGUCUCGGAUUCGAUUUAUAAAAGUGAAGAGAAGGAAGUGAUUAGUGGUGUUUAUAUGUCAACUGGACUUGUUCUUGAGAGAAAGAAGACUCGAUUGAUGAGUUUGUUUACAUGGGUUUAUGUUAAAUUUGAACUGUGAGGUUCUUGUACUUGAUUUGGUGCUCUCGAUUGCUGAAAUGGGUGCUUGCUUAAUUGGUUAUCUUUGAUUUGAUGAUGGAGCUGACUGCUUCCGUUGAUUUCAGCGAGAAGACUCGGGGAAGGAAGGUAUUGCUACUCCCUGAAAUAAGGAGAACUGAUAGGGAAGAAAUGGAGAUAAUUGCAGUGAUUGACAACAACAAUUGGGGGUUCAUUUGAACUGAAAUUGGUUUGGGUUUAGAUACUAAUGGAGAUGGCGUUUUCUUCGUUAUUACUCGGCAGAUGGAAUUUAAGAUACUCUCGGCAGAUGGAAUUCAAGACACUCUCCCAAAAUAAGAAGAUGUAGUCUCAAGAAGAACUGAUGCCAUGGUUUGAGCAGCUGGUGGUUGAGAAGAUUACAUGGAACAAAUGAUUCAUGAGGACCGAUAGUGGGUUCGACUAAAAAUGGUGUUGGUUGGCAGAGAUGGGUUAGAGAUGCAUCUGAUUCAGAUAGGCAGGAUUAAUAAGAGAUGUUGUUGGUGGCAGUACUGGAUUCGAAAGAAGAUGAAGUUGCCCUUGCAGGAAGUUUGUGUUGCUGCUUCCAGUUGUUUCUAUCAAUAACACACUGCUUGUCCACGGAGUUGUUUACUCCAGGCUCAUUGUCGCUGCAAUCGCCUCAGCAAGUCCCAGCUCUGUCAUUUGUUGCUAUUGAUAUGUAUGCCAAACUCGUGGUUUUGAUCCUCUCCAGUGGGUCAGGGAUCAAAUAAAUUGUUUCUCCUCCCCAAGAUUUUGUUGGCUACUGUGAGAGCUAUUCAAAAAGAUGCUGAUGAGAGAAAGAUAACAUUUAAUCCGAGGCCAUAUUUCAGAUUGUUUAUGAACUGGCUUCUAGAUCUUGGUUCUCCUGACCCUGUGCGUGAGGGUGCCAACUUUCAGAUUUUGACAGCAUUUGCAAAUGCCUGCCACGCAUUGCAGCCUCUGAAAGUUCCUGGUUUUAGUUACGCCUGGCUGGAGCUGGUGAGUCACAGGAGUUUUAUUCCAAAAUUACUUUAUGGAAAUUCUCAGUAGACGUCACCCUAUGUCCAACGCUUGCUUGUAGAUUUGUUCAAGUUCAUGGAGCCGUACUUGAGAAUGCUGGAAAAUCUCAGCUUGGAGAUCCUGUUCACUUCCUCUAUAAAGACACAUUGCGCGUUCUGUCGGUGCUUCUUCAUGGUUUUCCGGAGUUCCUCUGCAAUUAUCAUUUUAGCUUCUGCGAUGUCAUUCCGCCGAGCUGCAUCCAGAUGCAGAAUGUUAUUCUUAGUGCAUUUCCUUGCAACAUGUGGCUGCCUGAUCCUUCCACCCCGAACUUUUAUGUUAUUCUUAGGUUAUUCGGAAUGUUAUUCUUAGGUUGUUCAGGUGGUGAUGCAAUGGUUCGGGUGUUGCAUUGAAGUAUGUGAAAGCUGGUAGUAAUGGAUUGCAUAACUUUUCAUGCUCCUCAA